UUAACCGUGAGGUUUGGUCUGGAGGAAGCCGGACGCAAAACUGCGAGCUGAUGAACAAAAACAUCAUAUGAGGCGUAGGCUGGAGGCGAGUUGGCACAAGACGACGAAGCCAUGUGAUCUAACGGCCACCGUAAAUGAUGCAGUUGCGCAGGGACAGUUCAUGCU
rnacentral:ncRNA from 1 species